GACGAACGCUGGCGGUGUGCUUAACACAUGCAAGUCGAACGGUAAGGCCCUUUCGGGGGUCCACGAGUGGCGAACGGGUGAGUAACACGUGAGUAACCUGCCCUCAUCUCUGGGAUAACAGUCGGAAACGGUUGCUAAUACUGGAUAUGAGCCUGCAAGGCAUCUUGUGGGUUGGAAAGAUUUUUUGGUUGGGGAUGGACUCGCGGCCUACCAGCUUGUUGGUGAGGUAGUGGCUCACCAAGGCUUCGACGGGUAGCCGGCCUGAGAGGGCGACCGGCCACAUUGGGACUGAGAUACGGCCCAAACUCCUACGGGAGGCAGCAGUGGGGAAUAUUGCACAAUGGACGGAAGUCUGAUGCAGCAACGCCGCGUGCGGGAUGACGGCCUUCGGGUUGGAAACCGCUUUCAAUUGUGACGAAGCUUUUUGUGACGGUAGCAGUAGAAGAAGCACCGGCUAACUACGUG
rnacentral:rRNA from 1 species